ensembl:ncRNA asRNA:CR45213 antisense RNA:CR45213
ACUUUGGACGGAUGAUGUCCUUGAAAGUGAAUGCGGAUGCGAGUGGAGGCUUUUCCGAAUUGCUCGUGGAGUCCGGACCCUGUCCUUGUGAGGAAGACAGCGUCGCAUAAGCUGCAUUCCUGCUGGUUGGAAGUCCAUCGAGAUAUUUUAGCUGGGGAAGCACCUGUAGUAUAUACUCGCGGGGUCCUUGGCCCCCGAAAACUGUGCGGAUGCCAGGAUUCCCCAUGCAAGAGAGCUGAUCCAGCGCAGGACAGUGCCGUUCGAUGCGGUGUAUCCAAUCGGUUAUAUUUGCUAUAUCGCAAUUGUUGAUCCUGCAAGACGAAUAGAAUAUGUGUUAUUGCGUGGACCCAUGUAUGCAAGAUUCAGGGUAAUCACCACAAGAUCCUUAAGCUCGGCAAAUAAGGAAAAGUGUUUAUGUCCAGGUUUACGUUGCGGUCCAGGAUUAAAGUGUCCAGAUCCUCGAAAAAGGAGAGAAAUCUCAAGUUUCGGAAAUCAUUGUGACUCAAAUCGAGAAACUUGGUCUGCGCUGCGAAUUUGUCGGCCAGUCGCCGCGGAAUUGUCUUCAGGUUCUCAUAGGCCAGCGAAAUGCGUCCGUUGUCCUCUAGGAUGCUUUCCGAAAAUGAUACAUCUUCACUUGGACAACUGCUGAUGGAAAUGUUGCCACUAAAGGAAUACGGAUUCGGCGUAAUCAUCUUCCCCACGUUGUCUUCGGUCAGCAAAACGUCGUUAUAUUCGUAGUUCAAGCUCUCCAGCGACUGAAUGUUGGCACAAUUCCUGAGGACCUCCGUUAGGCAGGGAUUCAACGGGCUGGAAGCGGGAUAUUUUGGUCAUUACAUGGAUUUUUGAAUGCCUAUCUACUACCUGUCUUCGGAGUUGGAGCGUUCAGAGGUCGAUGUUCCAGACAUAACGGCGUAGAUCUACAUAACUGGCAGCAGCUCCUAUUCUUGGUGUUUUCCAAUCGGGAUCGGGACUCCGUCGGAUGGUAUUUAUUUUGGUCCAACGUCUGUGGUAGACUGAGGGAAAAAUGACACUUGACUCUCGCUCCGCGCAGAUUAUCUGGAUCUUCCGCUCCCCAAGCAAACACAUACCCAUAUCUGUGAGUGUAUUGAAACAAUUGUCAUCUCGGUGGUCACAAUCACCCAACGCACUCAAAGUACACUCGAAAAAAGCUCUGUUGGAAAUGUAAACAUGUAGUGAAUCUUUUCUGCCACAAUUCCUCCUUAUUUUGAGAUAAGUUUAUAAAUAAACGUUUUUUUUUCUCUGU